rnacentral:rRNA from 1 species
AAUGAACGCUAGCGGCAGGCUUAAUACAUGCAAGUCGAGGGACAGCACAGGUAGCAAUACUGGGUGGUAACCGGCAAACGGGUGCGGAACACGUACACAACCUUCCUUUAAGUGGGGGAUAGCCCAGAGAAAUUUGGAUUAAUACCCCGUAAUAUAGUUGAAUGGCAUCAUUUGAUUAUUAUAGCUACGGCGCUUAAUGAUGGGUGUGCGGCUGAUUAGAUAGUUGGCGGGGUAACGGCCCACCAAGUCUACGAUCAGUAGCUGAUGUGAGAGCGUGAUCAGCCACACGGGCACUGGGACGCGGGCCCGACUCCUGCGGGAGGCAGCAGUAAGGAAUAUUGGUCAAUGGACGCAAGUCUGAACCAGCCAUGCCGCGUGAAGGAUUAAGGUCCUCUGGAUUGUAAACUUCUUUUAUUUGGGACGAAAAAGGGCCUUUCUAGGUCAACUGACGGUACCAGAUGAAUAAGCACCGGCUAACUCCGUGCCAGCCGCCGCAGUAAUAC